ACCUAGUUUUUCAUUUCCGGAUCCAGCAGACGUAUUGGCUUCUCUUCAGUUCAUUGACAUAUGUUAGCAAAAUAAACAUUUUAGAAACAUGUUGACACGAUGUCCAUAGCACUCUUGAUAUAAAUGUAUAUAAAAUACCACAUAUCCAAAGAUCUAGACAAAAUCACUUGCUUGGCCAGUUUUAAGGUCGAAACUCAUAAACCAACAAAUUAAAUACUUCCCUCAGUAAUAAUGUUUGUAUUUUGUACGCAAAAAUGCAUAACGAUUGCUUUCAUAAUAGAUCAGGAGCCUUCUUCUACGAUUAUUUGAAUCGAAAUUGACGAAAUUGUUCGCCAUUUUGAAAUAAACGACCAAACGAGACCACGAUCAAUUUAAAUUGCUUGUCAGCGAUCGUUCAUCAACUUUUAAUUAAUGUUUAAUUUAUGUUAAUUUAUGUUAAUUUAAGUUAAUUUAUGUUAAUUUAAUGUUAGUUUAUGUUAAUUUAAUGUUAAUUUAUGUUAACUACCCCACGCAAGCGCCAUAACAAC